rnacentral:rRNA from 1 species
GAUGAACGCUAGCGGCAGGCUUAAUACAUGCAAGUCGUGGGGCAGCAUGAGUAGCAAUACUUGAUGGCGACCGGCAAACGGGUGAGGAACACGUACACAACCUUCCUUCAAGCGGGGAAUAGCCCAGAGAAAUUUGGAUUAAUACCCCAUAAUAUAUUUGAUAAGGCAUCUUAUUAAUAUUAAAGCUUCGGCACUUGAUGAUGGGUGUGCGGCUGAUUAGAUAGUUGGCGGGGUAACGGCCCACCAAGUCUACGAUCAGUAGCUGAUGUGAGAGCAUGAUCAGCCACACGGGCACUGAGACACGGGCCCGACUCCUACGGGAGGCAGCAGUAAGGAAUAUUGGACAAUGGACGAAAGUCUGAUCCAGCCAUGCCGCGUGAAGGAUUAAGGUCCUCUGGAUUGUAAACUUCUUUUAUAUGGGACGAAAAAAGGGCAUUCUUGUUCACUUGACGGUACCAUAUGAAUAAGCACCGGCUAACUCCGUG